CCGCAAACCCGAACCAUCGCUCCCCCAAAGGGAGAGGAAAGUCCGGACAGUACAGGGCGUCCCACCGGUUAACAGCCGGCCCCGGCGCAAGUUGGGGAGAAAGUGCCACAGAAAAUAACUACUUCGGCUGGCCGAAGCAAAGGUGAAAACGUGCGGUAAGAGCGCACGGAAAAGCAGGGUAACCUGUUUUUCGGGUAAACCUUGGGAACUGUAAUGCCAUGUAUAGGAUCGCUGGAGGGCGGCCCGCCCAAGAUCCAGGGUAGGCAGCAAGAUCCUUGCAGCAAUGCAAGGGCCAGAUAAAUGAUGGAGUAGGAACAGAAUCCGGCUUAUGAGGUUUGCGGCAUU
rnacentral:RNase_P_RNA from 1 species